rnacentral:piRNA from 1 species
AGAAAGCAGGGAAAACAGUUUUGG